ensembl:lncRNA
CCUGGGUAUUUUUCUUAAGGAAUAACUCAAAGAAGUAUGUUUUGUGCUCUAAGAGAUUCAGUCACACAAGCUUAGCAGCGGUUUUGGCUGCUGCAGACCACCCACACUGCUCUGAGGACUCCUGGGCAGCCUGACUUGGGUGUCUACAAUGACCAUUAUGCAUUGCAUCUCUUGCUGAGGCCAUAGGUUCCACAGGGUCAAGAUCUAAAGUUGAACAAUUCAAGCUCAUCUUAUGCAUCUAAGAACCCACAAUCCAUUGAGGCAGCAGGCAACAGCCAAGAACAUUAGAUACCUCAUCUUCCUUUACAUGUCUCCAAGGGAUGCCAUUGGGAUCCAUCAUUCCUACAGCUGUUUUGACAAGUUCUGGGUGAAGGAAUGGUGUGUCGUGAGGACUAUUGCCUGGGGAAAGAGGAAGAAGAUUAACACACUAUAGGGGAACCAUGAUUUCGUUCUCUGCUAGGGAAGACAUUGCUGAAAAAGAAAGUCCUCAGUUACUGCACUGCCAUUCAUGAUAUCCCCAAAUGGCUCCUAAUUGCCUCUCCUCAGCUUAGCCUUCAAAGUCGUCCACCAUCUGUACUAUCUUCUACAUAAUGUGAUAUCAAGGCUUAUCUCCAAUAUCUGCUUUUAUGACCUCAAUACUUGUGGUAAACCAGUUAAUACAUUGUCUCUUGAUUACAUUUUGCACUUGCUCAUUCUUUAGUCUGUUUUGUUUGUCUGAAAAAUCCCUUUUCCUGAGUUUACCCAUCCAAAUUCUUACUGAUUCUUCAAGGUUCAGGACAAAUGCCACUUAUCCAAGAAGCCUCUUGCUUGAAUAAUAUAUAAAAACCAAGAGAGAAGUUAUAGUCGUUAAGAAGGGAUUCUAUAAGGAGAGACACUUACUUUGGAUGGCUUCUGCUGGAUUCCAGAACCUCUUUGCUAUCAGGUGUGCUGUAGCGACCUAGGUGGCUGUAUAUGAUAGUAAAUUGGGACUUUGAAAGCUAGGUAAACAUUUUUGCGCCCUUCCUAGAUCUCUCUUAUCAGGCAUUGAAUACAUCUCCAAGCUUCUUUGAGAGCUGGCUUCUAAUGUUCAUAGCCACAGUGUUUCAAGAAUUUCUCUUCACUGAAAGGAAUGUAAUUGACUGGAAAUAUCUGGGAGUGCAUGCCCUCACUCCCAGGAAGGCCCAUGGCCAACAGUUGACCCAAUUAUCAACAGUGAUUUAGAAACAUCAACAACCAAAACACCCUAUUGUUACGAGAUAGGACAACUCUGAGGUGCCUUUCAUGCUCCAGUGCUCCCCGUGGGAUCAAACUAAAGUUAGACUUUAGCAGAGCCCACAACUUUAUGUAGCUUUUCUGCAUGCCUUAUCCUGCUUCUCUCUCAUCCUUACAGUUUGCCCUGAGAUCACUUCUUACUAAAUCACUUGCAAAACAGUUGCUGUCUAAAGCUCUGCUUUUGGAGAAUUUGUCAUAAGACAGAGUCUCAGUGCAUACACAGGAAUGAGGACUGUGUAUACUUUAUUACACACACUCAAAAAUUGUUUAAAAAAACAAUGGAGUAUAAGUGUUAGGUUCUGAUUUCUGGCCCAGAUUCCUUCUCCCUUGAGGGACUAGUUAUAACCCAUAACCAUCAUUUCCAGUCAUAUAGUCAUACAGACUGAAUUACUUCUUGUAGGUCUUAUUGUAUUUGUUCCUUAUGGUGCUAGAAUUUCUGCUUCCUGCUAAAUGGCCAUGAUUACUAGAGACAAAUAUUUUUUUUCUCAUGCAUCUAUUCAGAGGACGUGUAGUUAAUACUGAGUUCAUAUCAUUGCUCUUCUAUGGAUGCCUGUGGUAGGAUCUGCAAAGACAGAUGGGGAGCAUGAUGCUGCUGCUGCUCUGUGUUUCUCUACCCUAAAUCAUCAGUCUAUCUUUGCUGUUACCUUCAUCCACUGCUCUUCCAACUGCAAUGCUAAGUCAGCCACAGGGAGGGUAAUGGAAAUAACAGCGUCAUUUCCUUCUAGAAAAUGGACUUUCAGACAUCAUCAGUCCUCCCGUCCAUUAUGAAUAAAUUUGUGCAUGUUGCAUCUUCUUCAUAACACUAUUUACUAUCUUGCAGGAAAUAGUAGCAUACAGCAUUAAUCAAUUCAUUCAUUCAAAAAUUAUAUUGCCUGCCUCUUAUAUCCAGACACUGUCCUAGGUAGGCUAUGGGAAAUAUAAGUAACAGCCAAAGAUGUCUGCCCUCAUGGAAUAAAUCUUCUAGCAUCUUCAAAGCAGAAUGAGAGGAAACUAUGGUGUAGCAUUAACUUACUAUUUGAAAAAAUUAAAAGAGGAAAGAAUAUUUCAAUACCCUUGUCAAGCAGAGUAGUCACCAAUAAACCUCCAAUCGUUUAAACUUCCUCUACCAGCUUUCAGCAAGGGACAGAGAGAGGAAGAUGAAAAACGGAGAUGCAAAAAAAGGUAGAGAGACAAAACAUAGGAAAAUGUGGUGGGAGUAGGAAUUAUUUGUUUGAUCUUAAGGCCCAUUUUCUUGAAUUAAAUAAUAAUUCAUAUAAUUGAUGAAACUGUUCUGCAACAGAAAAGAACAAUCUUAUCUGAUAGUAUUGGUCCUUAUUAUUCAUUUCAAUAACUUAAAAAAAAAUUUCCGUCACUCUUUAAAGAUUCCUCAUGUCAAUUUGCAGUCCAUACCUCUGUAUGCCCCUGGCCCCAGGUAACUGUAUUUCUGCCUUUUACAGUUUGGCAAUGUAGAUUAAUUUACUUUUUUAUAGAAUUUUAUAAUUUAGAAACACAUAGUGUACUCCAUUGUAUGUGGUGUUUUUCUAUCAACAUAAUUAUUUUGAGAUUCAUUCAUGUUCUGUAUAUG